rnacentral:rRNA from 1 species
CUUUGAUCCUGGCUCAGGAUGAACGCUAGCUACAGGCUUAACACAUGCAAGUCGAGGGGCAGCGGGAUUGAAGCUUGCUUCAAUUGCCGGCGACCGGCGCACGGGUGAGUAACGCGUAUCCAACCUUCCGUACACUCAGGGAUAGCCUUUCGAAAGAAAGAUUAAUACCUGAUGGUAUGAUGAGAUUGCAUGGUAUCAUCAUUAAAGAUUUAUCGGUGUACGAUGGGGAUGCGUUCCAUUAGGUAGUAGGCGGGGUAACGGCCCACCUAGCCAACGAUGGAUAGGGGUUCUGAGAGGAAGGUCCCCCACAUUGGAACUGAGACACGGUCCAAACUCCUACGGGAGGCAGCAGUGAGGAAUAUUGGUCAAUGGACGAGAGUCUGAACCAGCCAAGUAGCGUGAAGGAUGAAGGUCCUACGGAUUGUAAACUUCUUUUAUAAGGGAAUAAACCCUCCCACGUGUGGGAGCUUGUAUGUACCUUAUGAAUAAGCAUCGGCUAACUCCGUGCCAGCAGCCGCGGUAAUACGGAGGAUGCGAGCGUUAUCCGGAUUUAUUGGGUUUAAAGGGAGCGCAGACGGGUCGUUAAGUCAGCUGUGAAAGUUUGGGGCUCAACCUUAAAAUUGCAGUUGAUACUGGCGUCCUUGAGUGCGGUUGAGGUGUGCGGAAUUCGUGGUGUAGCGGUGAAAUGCUUAGAUAUCACGAAGAACUCCGAUUGCGAAGGCAGCACACUAAUCCGUAACUGACGUUCAUGCUCGAAAGUGUGGGUAUCAAACAGGAUUAGAUACCCUGGUAGUCCACACGGUAAACGAUGGAUACUCGCUGUUGGCGAUAUACUGUCAGCGGCUUAGCGAAAGCGUUAAGUAUCCCACCUGGGGAGUACGCCGGCA